CGGACGGGUGAGUAACGCGUGAGAACAUGCCUUUAGAUUGGGGACAACAGUUGGAAACGACUGCUAAUACCGAAUGUGCCUUAGGGUGAAAGAUUUAUUGUCUAGAGGUUGGCUCGCGUCAGAUUAGCUAGUUGGAGUGGUAACGGCACACCAAGGCGACGAUCUGUACUUGGUCUGAGAGGAUGACCAGGCACACUGGAACUGAGACACGGUCCAGACUCCUACGGGAGGCAGCAGUGGGGAAUUUUCCGCAAUGGGCGAAAGCCUGACGGAGCAAUACCGCGUGAGGGAGGACGGCUUUUGGGUUGUAAACCUCUUUUAUCAGGGAAGAAUCGAUGACGGUACCUGAUGAAUCAGCAUCGGCUAACUCCGUGCCAGCAGCCGCGGUAAUACGGAGGAUGCAAGCGUUAUCCGGAAUUAUUGGGCGUAAAGCGUCCGUAGGUGGUUUAUCAAGUCUGCUGUCAAAGCGUGCGGCUUAACCGCAUAAGGGCAGUGGAAACUGAUGAACUAGAGUGCGAUAGGGGUAACAGGAAUUCCCAGUGUAGCGGUGAAAUGCGUAGAUAUUGGGAAGAACACCAGCGGCGAAAGCGUGUUACUGGGUCUGCACUGACACUGAGGGACGAAAGCUAGGGGAGCGAAAGGGAUUAGAUACCCCUGUAGUC
rnacentral:rRNA from 1 species